rnacentral:rRNA from 1 species
UACGGAGGGUGCAAGCGUUAUCCGGAUUCACUGGGUUUAAAGGGUGUGUAGGCGGAUCUUUAAGUCAGUGGUGAAAUCUCCAGGCUCAACCUGGAAACUGCCAUUGAUACUAUUGGUCUUGAAUUCUGUUGAGGUGGGCGGAAUACAUCAUGUAGCGGUGAAAUGCUUAGAUAUGAUGUAGAACACCGAUUGCGAAGGCAGCUCACUAAGCAGACGAUUGACGCUGAGGCACGAAAGCGUGGGGAUCAAACAGG